GACGUAGGGCGCAAGCGUUGUCCGGAUUUACUGGGCGUAAAGAGCGCGCAGGCGGUCGUUCAAGUCGCGUGUGAAAGCCCCCGGCUCAACUGGGGAGGGUCACGCGAUACUGAUCGACUCGAAGGCAGGAGAGGGAAGUGGAAUUCCCGGUGUAGUGGUGAAAUGCGUAGAUAUCGGGAGGAACACCAGUGGCGAAGGCGACUUCCUGGCCUGUUCUUGACGCUGAGGCGCGAAAGCUAGGGGAGCAAACGGG
rnacentral:rRNA from 1 species